UACGUAGGGUGCAAGCGUUGUCCGGAAUUAUUGGGCGUAAAGGGUGCGUAGGCGGUUUGGUAAGUCUUAUGUGAAAUCUAUGGGCUCAACUCACAGUCUGCAUGAGAAACUGCCGGGCUUGAGUAUGGGAGAGGUGAGUGGAAUUCCUGGUGUAGCGGUGAAAUGCGUAGAUAUCAGGAGGAACACCUGUGGCGAAAGCGGCUCACUGGACCAUAACUGACGCUGAUGCACGAAAGCUAGGGGAGCAAACAGG
rnacentral:rRNA from 1 species